CACGUAGGGGCCAAGCGUUGUCCGGAUUUAUUGGGCGUAAAGAGCUCGUAGGCGGUUGGGUAAGUCGGGUGUGAAAACUCCAGGCUCAACUUGGAGACGCCACCCGAUACUGUUCUGACUUGAGUUCGGUAGGGGAGUGGGGAAUUCCUGGUGUAGCGGUGAAAUGCGCAGAUAUCAGGAGGAACACCGGUGGCGAAGGCGGCUUGCUGGGCCAGUUCUGACGCUGAGGAGCGAAAGCGUGGGGAGCGAACAGG
rnacentral:rRNA from 1 species